rnacentral:lncRNA from 1 species
CCUGUCAAAAAUUAUUUUAAACUUUAAACCUCUAGGGCUUUCGGUUCCUGGUUAGAAAAUGAUAAACAAAGAUUCAGUAGACUUGUAGAGUAACUAUCCAUAGCUAUGACUUCUCUGGUACCAUUGUCCGGGGGCGUAGGCUUGAUUUCAAAGAAGAGAAUGUAAGUCGAUUUGCAAUCCACAAACAGAUCUGAUAUCUUCUGAUCAGAUUCUCUCUAUCUCGUAUAUCUUCUGAUCAGAUUCUCUCUAUCUCAUACGAGAAUGGUGGCUCUCUCUAUUCUCUCAAUUCUGGCCUCACACGAAAGUACUGAUCUGAAACGUGUAAUCAGAUCAGAAAAAAUAGAAGUAGAGGAAGGAAAAAUAAGAACACGCAACAAAAGAGAAUGUUUUGUUAACGAGGUUCAGUUGUGCUUACUCUCCGGGGGUGACUGGGUUCCUCCUACCCUUGGUGACAAGAAUUACAGACGGCAAGAAAUUAUCCAGCACAUUACAAGAGAAAAAUUAGAUGCUAUUUAUAAUUAGUUAUCUAAAGAGGCGUGCCCU